rnacentral:rRNA from 1 species
AGCGAACGCUGGCGGCGUGCUUAACACAUGCAAGUCGAGUGCGUAGCCCUUUGUAGCAAUACAGAGGGUGGGCGCACGGCGCACGGGUGAGUAACACGUGGGUAACCUGCCCUUGGUGGGGAAUAACCCGCGAAAGCGGGGCUAAUUCCGCAUAACAUUCCGGGGACACAUGUUCUCGGACUCAAAGGAGUGAUUCGCCGGAGGAGGGGCCCGCGCCCGAUUAGCUUGUUGGUAGGGUAACGGCCACCAAGGCUUUGAUCGGUAGCCGGUCUGAGAGGAUGGCCGGCCACACUGGAACUGAGACACGGUCCAGACUCCUACGGGAGGCAGCAGGUGGGGAAUCUUGCGCAAUGGGCGAAAGCCUGACGCAGCGACGCCGCG